rnacentral:rRNA from 1 species
CAAGAGCGUAUGUAAAAGUUGUUGCAGUUAAAAAGCUCGUAGUUGAACCUUGGGUUUGGUUGGCCGGUCCGCUUUUUUGCGAGUACUGGAUUCAACCGAGCCUUUCCUUCUGGCUAGCCAGUCGUUUCGGCGGCUGGCGAACCAGGAUUUUUACUUUGAGAAAAUUAGAGUGUUCAAAGCAGGCAUUAGCUUGAAUAUAUUAGCAUGGAAUAAUAGAAUAGGACGUUAUGGUUCUAUUUUGUUGGUUUCUAGGACCAUCGUAAUGAUUAAUAGGGACGGUCGGGGGCAUCAGUAUUCAGUUGUCAGAGGUGAAAUUCUUGGAUUUACUGAAGACUAACUACUGCGAAAGCAUUUGCCAAGGACGUUUUCAUUAA